CUCUUUCUCGAUUCCGUGGGUGGUGGUGCAUGGCCGUUCUUAGUUGGUGGAGCGAUUUGUCUGGUUAAUUCCGAUAACGAACGAGACUCUGGCAUGCUAACUAGUUACGCGACCCCCGAGCGGUCGGCGUCCCCCAACUUCUUAGAGGGACAAGUGGCGUUCAGCCACCCGAGAUUGAGCAAUAACAGGUCUGUGAUGCCCUUAGAUGUCCGGGGCUGCACGCGCGCUACACUGACUGGCUCAGCGUGUGCCUACCCUACGCCGGCAGGCGCGGGUAACCCGUUGAACCCCAUUCGUGAUGGGGAUCGGGGAUUGCAAUUAUUCCCCAUGAACGAGGAAUUCCCAGUAAGUGCGGGUCAUAAGCUUGCGUUGAUUAAGUCCCUGCCCUUUGUACACACCGCCCGUCGCUACUACCGAUUGGAUGGUUUAGUGAGGCCCUCGGAUCGGCCCCGCCGGGGUCGGCCCACGGCCCUGGCGGAGCGCUGAGAAGACGGUCGAACUUGACUAUCUAGAGGAAGUAAAAGUCGUAACAAGGUUUCGGUAGGUGAACCUGCGGAAGG
rnacentral:rRNA from 1 species